rnacentral:rRNA from 1 species
CCUACGGGCGGCAGCAGUCGAGAAUCAUUCACAAUGGGGGAAACCCUGAUGGUGCGACGCCGCGUGGGGGAAUGAAGGUCUUCGGAUUGUAAACCCCUGUCAUGUGGGAGCAAAUUAAAAAGAUAGUACCACAAGAGGAAGAGACGGCUAACUCUGUGCCAGCAGCCGCGGUACUACAGAGGUCUCAAGCGUUGUUCGGAAUCACUGGGCGUAAAGCGUGCGUAGGCUGUUUCGUAAGUCGUGUGUGAAAGGCGCGGGCUCAACCCGCGGACGGCACAUGAUACUGCGAGACUAGAGUAAUGGAGGGGGAACCGGAAUUCUCGGUGUAGCAGUGAAAUGCGUAGAUAUCGAGAGGAACACUCGUGGCGAAGGCGGGUUCCUGGACAUUAACUGACGCUGAGGCACGAAGGCCAGGGGAGCGAAAGGGAUUAGAUACCCCAGUAGUC